UUUUCCUACGGGGGGCAGCAGUGAGGAAUAUUGGUCAAUGGGCUUACGCCUGAACCAGCCAAGUCGCGUGAGGGAAGACUGCCCUAUGGGUUGUAAACCUCUUUUGUCAGGGAGCAACGCCGGCUACGUGUAGCCGGACUGAGAGUACCUGAAGAAAAAGCAUCGGCUAACUCCGUGCCAGCAGCCGCGGUAAUACGGAGGAUGCGAGCGUUAUCCGGAUUUAUUGGGUUUAAAGGGUGCGUAGGCGGACUGUUAAGUCAGCGGUAAAAGCCCGGGGCUCAACCCCGGCGAGCCGUUGAAACUGG
rnacentral:rRNA from 1 species